AUCCUUUCUGGCCUUUUGGCUUAGAUCAAGUGUAGUAUCUGUUCUUAAUAGAUUAACAUCUAUUACAAUCGCAUAGCGAUUGCAAAAUGUUAAGAGAUCUUUCUCGCCUGCAUUCAGUUCAUUGCUUGCAUUGGCUGUUUGCAAGAUGGCUUCGGCAUCACACUACUGCCCCAGCUGUCACGGCUUU
rnacentral:snRNA from 1 species